CUCGAAACUCCAGGGCCGGUCCUGGUGAUGCGGUUCCAGAUGGACGACGGCUUCGCGGGCGGCUGGGCCGAAUCGGGCUGCCGUGGCCCAAGCGGCGGACGAACAGGCGCUCCUCUCGUCGUCCUCCUCCCGACGGCAGGCCAAGCAGGCGGCAGGAGCUUCUCCGUUCUGCUUGGCGACCUCAGGGUCCCGCUCUUCGGGGCGCUGCUCCAGCAGAGCAGCAGCACGCGCCUCGAAUGGCAGGGGCGGCCGCCGUGGUUUGAGGACGUGCUGCGGGCGCCGACGGCUACCACGCCCCGGCGGUGGUGGACGCGCGGCGACACUCUCUGGGCGUGCUCUUGCUGGAGCUCCUCAACGGCAAGUCCCCGACGCACGCGUCGCUGCAGGAUGGCGACGGCGGCACGCUGGAUCUGCCGCGGUUGGUGCAGUCAGUGGUGCGCGAGGAGUGGACGGCCGAGGUGAUUGGCGUGGAGCUGGCGCGACGCCGAGGAGAAGAUGGACUCGCUACUGCAGGCACCAGGGAAGCUACAACAUAGCACGCCGCUGGCCUCCAGCAACCGGCGCUCCGCACACAUCCUUGCCUCCCACGGCCAGAUGCUCGGACGGCCCCCCAUCACAUAGAUACACAAACACAACAGCAAGCUUCAGUUAUCUGAAUUUUCGGUUCAGUGUCCACAACAGCGAGCUUCAGUUAUCUGAAUUUUUAGUGCAGUGUCGUGAUUUGGAUGGACGCCCGAACACAACAGCGAGGCCAGCUUCAGUUCUCUGAAUCUUCAGUGUGCUGUCAUGAUUUGUAUGGAAUUGGAGACCGUGUCCUUCUCCAACAUAAGUCAAUUUCCAAUGUAAUCGAGUUCGAGUCUCUGUUCUUCUCCAACGCAAAAGCAUGUAGUGCCCGACCCGGAUUGGACUUGGCUGUCAUAAGGAGGGAUCCUCGACCAGAACGUCCAUCAGGCCGCGUCCCUCGACCAGAAUCUCCAUUUCACAUUGCAACUCUCAGAGGAGCAUCCAAUGUCGCUGGCGGAGGAAAAUCAUCCGUCCAGCCGUACUAUGCCGAGUUCGCCGGCGGAAGAAGAACACCCGUCGAGCCCUCCAUCGCCUGAGGUGGCUACACCAGAGUGAUGGGAGGUAGAUUGAGCUGAUAAAUUUCUGCACCCACCUUGAGGUCCAUAACGUUCUCCUAAUUAUAUGCAGCCCAAUUCGUAUAGAUGUAUUUGUUUGAGGGAGAGGACUAUCUGUGAUCAGAAGCAACAGUAUGUGAUCAUCAUGAGUGCGAGAGAUGGCAGGAGUAUGUGAUAUGUAUUUCUGUGUACACUACUAAUAUGUAUUGACUGUUCAUGUUGGUACAGUAGGUUCAUGAUUGCUUAUGGAAACAAUAAAAUUACUUGAGGAGGAUUUUAUGAGUAUGUACUUUGAGACUUGAGAGGCUGUUAUUGACAUGGAUUCUCCGUCUACUAGAGAGGCUGGUGUCAAAUCAAUAUCGGAACAAGGGCAAUAGAAGUGGAAUGAGGAGAAGGUUGUUAGCUCGUCGUGUGGUCGAUUUGGUUUCUGGAAAUUCUUUCGCAUACUAUGUUUGAGCGCUUUUGUUCUUGAGUUCUUCUGGUGGAGGGAAUCAGAAGUGAUUCUUCUGCAAUGUGAGGAGAUCUCCAAAUCAAGCCAGCCUCCAAGAGAAGAGAACAAGUAGUACAUCUCUACCCAGACGAGCUGAAUCUGAACGACUCAGAUUGUCAUGUUACCGUGUACCAGUCCGGCAGAUGUGCAAGUGCAACUACAUUGGUUGAGUGUAAGGAAGACUGAUUCAUCUGCGCGAAGCCAGUAUGACAAGGCUAAGUCUGCACAAGGUAAAAAAACACAAUAAAUUUGGCCCCUUGAUAUUUCUGUUUAUGGGUUGUUUUUCAGGGGAGCUCAUAGUUUAGUAGUUCUCUUCUGUGCUAAUCUGAAUUGUAGGUGGCCCAUUGUUUAAUUGCUCAUGCACAUUAUUAAUUGUGGUUUGCAUCGUCAAUCUGCACUUUGGUAGGAGCACCUAGGAGUUCCUGACUAUUCUCUGGGCAACCUCCUAUAUUUUAUAGUAGUUCAACUUAGCCUUUAUUUGUGGCAAACCGUGAUUCCGUACUACACCUUGGAAUCUUUUUUAAGUCUGAAUUGCGUGGUUUACUGACUAAAUUUACCCACUAGCUCAGCUGAUUUAUGCAAAGUACAGUAGUAACUUUGUUUGGAUCUGAACUUAUAUCACUCUAAGAACUUCUACAUAGAAUGAUUUAUCAUCACUAGAAUAUUUAUGCCCCGUUGUAAUGCACGGGCAUGUUUUCUUGCAAAAUUUAUUUUAAAUGUUUUUUGCUGGUUGAUUAUGUUUGGAGUUCCUUUCUUUGUUAUUAUCUUCAUUGCAUUGCUAGUUUCUUUUAUCCGGUACCAUUUUGUGGUUAUAUAUGCUUUACUUAUUCACUUAGAAUAUCAAUGUCUUAUCGGUGAAUCGGUUCACUUGCACAAGGAUCUUGCCAAAACAUCAAGUUUCCCGAACAUAAAAAUUAUGUCAUUUCGGUGGAAUAAAGAAUUUAUCUCUAGCACGGUGAAACAAAUAAUUUAUCUCUAGCACUAAAAUUAUGUUUCUUACCAACAAGAAUGUACACUGCAGUAUUUUUAUUAUGUUACGGCUAAUAGUUGGGUUGCUCCAUUAGCAAGAAGUCAAUUUGUCAGUGGAAACAUAGCUGCAAGGAUGCGAUAUUUCAACUUUGAGGUUACUUAAGCUUUUGGACUUCAGAUUUAGUUGCCAUCACGAAACUGGUAUGCAAUUGAGCUGCACUUGCGCGCACAUGCUGAUUUCUAAAUAUCGCACAGUACUAUAGUUGUGAUCCUCUAAAUAGCUUAUAUUUGAGCACAGUCUUGCGGAAUAGUUACAGUGAACAAAAAGCUUGCAUUUGAUUGAUUUGAUUUGUUAGUUUUUUGAAUGGUGCUGCCCCUAUUAGGCUAAGUAGAAGCACUAUACUGGGCCUAAAGUACAUCAGGUUACCUUUCAUGAGGUCUGUGGAAUUUUUGUAAUUUGCGGUAUGGUAUUUUUGGAAUUAUUUUGGGUACAAGGAAAGAAGUGAGACAGAACUGCAAUUUUUUGUGGUAAAAUUUACUGAAAUUGGUGUUUCUUUUCAAGAUUGUAUUACUGUUUGCCCAUUUGAUCCUUGGAUGAUCUACUAAUUUUCUUUUCUAUUUGUUGCGGAUAAUUUGCUUCAGUUCAUCAGAUUACCUGGAGAAACAUGAUCAUUGUUUAUCUAAAGAUAUAUUGGGCAUCAGUCCACCUGUCAUGAGGUCUCUAAAUUUUUGAGGCAUGUUUAUUUUCUGAAUAAUUUAUUGGAGAUACUAUGCUUGGACUCACAAAUGCAUGUAGUGCUUCCACUAGAGGGAUGUUCUUCAUUUUUUCUGUGCUCUUUCAAGUUUUUGGUCCUUGAAAAGUAAUAGUACUUGCUAGGUUUCUAGCUUUACUUUUUUUUGUAGUACAAGCUAAAUGUAUAUGCCUGAAUUUACAUAUCAGAGUGUUUGAGUUGAUUAAGGGUAUGAGAGAGAACAAUUUUCAUCCUCAAACAACACCCGACAUCAUUAAUUUUCUUAUUUACCAAUUGAAACACGAGGCAAUAAUAUCACAACUUAAGUGUGUGAACAUAUCAAUAUAAAAUGAUUGGCCGGAUUAUGUUUUUAUGCAUUCUAGAAGUGGCAUUUUCGUGAAAUUACAAACUAGCUUUACAUUUUCUCGAAACACUUUGUGAAAUUUUAUUGGAGAAUAUUUUUCUUUUUUUCCAUCGUUCGUUGCCCAUUUGUCCCGUUCUGCUCCUGUUUGUCAUGAGUAAUGUGAUGUGUUGAAAUAGAGGGCGUAAACUUGUGGGGGCUUUUAGCCAUGGGGCUAUUGGGCUAGAGGCAUGCGAUAUAUUUUCCUCCCGUUACAACGCACGAGCCCUUUUGCUAGUAAACCAAAUAAAUCUUUCCCUAAUAAUAAAGCACAGAUUGACUUUGUCGGGCUCACCGUUACAAUACGCUUCUUUUCGUGAAUUUACGCUUUCAGUUUUUUUCAUCUAUAUUAGUUUCUACAUCCGAGGUGGUACUAUUUUACGUGCAUAUACUAUUAUCUAUAUCUAUAUGACGUGAGGGAUGCGAUAUUUUUCUCGCACAUUGCUCCGUUGGGCCUCGACUGGCUGCAUCCUGGGCUGCAUCCGUGGCCCAGAACAAGGCCGACAAGCCAACGAGGCGUUAAAAAAGAUUUCGAUGGGGACAGGACUCGAACCUGGGUAUCUUCUUCUUCUUCUUCUAAACCGAAUCGUUAUUUUUCUAAGAAAAACUGCACGCCGUGCUUCUCUCGCUGCACGCUGCUCCUAUCCCUCCCCCAGUCGCCAUGGAUCUUGCUUUUCUGGAUCCACUCCUCCCCUCCCAGAGUGUCCGCUCCUCUCCCUCCGCGGGCCGCCAAUUCUCUCCCUUCACGAGCUGAUGUGGAUCUCGCGAUGCAGGUGGUGCCCGUUGUAAUGGCCAUGGCUGACUCGCCAGACGCCGCCGGAGGGAGCCCAAUAUACCCUAGCUCGAUGGGCUCGCCAGCCGCCUAGGUAAUAGGGAAAACAUGUGUCGCAUCGGCACAUUUGAUACAGAGCAGCAACUACCUGGUUAUUGAGGGCGUGCACCGGAUGUGCAUAGCAGCACCAGUGCCGACCAAUUCGGCGGCGAACGCCAUGUGGAGGUGCACGGGAUGACGGCGACGCUGGCGAAGCUGAUGUGGAGGUAUGCGUGUGUGAUGACCUGUUGUUC